AGGCUUAACACAUGCAAGUCGAGGGGCAGCAUGGUCUUAGCUUGCUAAGGCCGAUGGCGACCGGCGCACGGGUGAGUAACACGUAUCCAACCUGCCGUCUACUCUUGGACAGCCUUCUGAAAGGAAGAUUAAUACAAGAUGGCAUCAUGAGUCCGCAUGUUCACAUGAUUAAAGGUAUUCCGGUAGACGAUGGGGAUGCGUUCCAUUAGAUAGUAGGCGGGGUAACGGCCCACCUAGUCUUCGAUGGAUAGGGGUUCUGAGAGGAAGGUCCCCCACAUUGGAACUGAGACACGGUCCAAACUCCUACGGGAGGCAGCAGUGAGGAAUAUUGGUCAAUGGGCGAGAGCCUGAACCAGCCAAGUAGCGUGAAGGAUGACUGCCCUAUGGGUUGUAAACUUCUUUUAUAAAGGAAUAAAGUCGGGUAUGGAUACCCGUUUGCAUGUACUUUAUGAAUAAGGAUCGGCUAACUCCGUGCCAGCAGCCGCGGUAAUACGGAGGAUCCGAGCGUUAUCCGGAUUUAUUGGGUUUAAAGGGAGCGUAGAUGGAUGUUUAAGUCAGUUGUGAAAGUUUGCGGCUCAACCGUAAAAUUGCAGUUGAUACUGGAUAUCUUGAGUGCAGUUGAGGCAGGCGGAAUUCGUGGUGCAGCGGUGAAAUGCUUAGAUAUCACGAAGAACUCCGAUUGCGAAGGCAGCCUGCUAAGCUGCAACUGACAUUGAGGCUCGAAAGUGUGGGUAUCAAACAGGAUUAGAUACCCUGGUAGUCCACACGGUAAACGAUGAAUACUCGCUGUUUGCGAUAUACUGCAAGCGGCCAAGCGAAAGCGUUAAGUAUUCCACCUGGGGAGUACGCCGGCAACGGUGAAACUCAAAGGAAUUGACGGGGGCCCGCACAAGCGGAGGAACAUGUGGUUUAAUUCGAUGAUACGCGAGGAACCUUACCCGGGCUUAAAUUGCAGAUGAAUUACGGUGAAAGCCGUAAGCCGCAAGGCAUCUGUGAAGGUGCUGCAUGGUUGUCGUCAGCUCGUGCCGUGAGGUGUCGGCUUAAGUGCCAUAACGAGCGCAACCCUUGUUGUCAGUUACUAACAGGUUCCGCUGAGGACUCUGACAAGACUGCCAUCGUAAGAUGUGAGGAGGGUGGGGAUGACGUCAAAUCAGCACGGCCCUUACGUCCGGGGCUACACACGUGUUACAAUGGGGGGUACAGAGGGCCGCUACCACGCGAGUGGAUGCCAAUCCCCAAAACCUCUCUCAGUUCGGACUGGAGUCUGCAACCCGACUCCACGAAGCUGGAUUCGCUAGUAAUCGCGCAUCAGCCACGGCGCGGUGAAUACGUUCCCGGGCCUUGUACACACCGCCCGUCAAGCCAUGGGAGCCGGGGGUACCUGAAGUGCGUAACCGCGAGGAGCGCCCUAGGGUAAAACUGGUGACUGGGGCU
rnacentral:rRNA from 1 species